AGUGAACGCUGGCGGUAGGCCUAACACAUGCAAGUCGAACGAGUGGCGGACGGGUGAGGAAUACAUCGGAAUCUACUCUGUCGUGGGGGAUAACGUAGGGAAACUUACGCUCAUACCGCAUACGAUUGAAUGAGCCGAUGUCGGAUUAGCUAGUUGGCGGGGUAAAGGCCCACCAAGGCGACGAGCCGUAGCUGGUCUGAGAGGAUGAUAAGGCACACAGGAACAGGAACACGGGCCAGUCUCCGACGGGAGGGAGGUGUGGGGAAUAUGCGACAAUGGGGGCAAGCCUGCUCCAGCCAUACCGGGUGGGUGGAGGAGGGCUUGGGGUUGUAAAGCCCUUUUGUUGGGAGGCGUUACCAACAGAAUAAGCACCGGCUAACUUCGUGCCAGCCGCCGCGGUAAUAC
rnacentral:rRNA from 1 species